rnacentral:rRNA from 2 species
UUAAACUGGAGGAAGGUGGGGAGGACGUCAAUUCUUCAUGCCCCUUAGGAGUAGGGUUACACACGUGUUCCAAUGGUGCAUACAAAGGGAAGGGACCUCGGGAGACCAAGCAGUCCUCACAAAGUGUUUUGUAGUCGGGAUGGGAUUUUGCAAUUGGAUUCCGUGAAGUGGGAAUCGUUAGUAAUGGUGGAUCAGAAUGCCACGGUGAAUACGUUCCCGGGCCUUGUACACACCGCCCGUCACCCCAUGGGAGUGGGUCCAAAAGAAGUAGGUAGGUUACCCUUCGGGAGGGCGCUGUCCAAGGUGUGACUCAUGACUGGGGUGAAGACGUUGACGACGGCGC